GGCUUAAAUAAAAGCUUACAGUUGGUUUAUUGGACUUCAAUGUGGACGUGUUUAGCAUAAUAAAGGACAUUUUUUUCUUAUUUUGUUAAAGACGUUGACGAUCGGCCUAAGCAAAAGUCUCCUCUUCAUAACAUCCACAAGAGAUUCUUCAUUCAUUUUAUCUUUUUCAACAACCUUAUCAACAAUGCAAGAGCUUCAUGAAGCGGCAAUUGCUUAUUACAACAACGGCUCCACGGAUCAACAGACUUUGGCAUGGCAGUUUUUCUGUUCAAUGGACGGUGACGGUAAUGGCCGUGUCAGCUUUCGAGAGUAUACCGACUUCUUGUGUAGAACCACCGGUUUCGCUUGGGUCCAUAGCGAGAUGUUUCAGGAGCUCGACCGGAAUAGAGACGGCCAGCUUGACUUCUGGGAGGUCUUGACGCUUUACUAUGUGGCUCGGACGCGGACCAUUGGCUGCCGCACGUGCCUCCAGCCUCUCAUUGGUUUGUACUUUACGUGUGUAACGUGCUUUGAAUCGCAAUGUGUUGGCGACACGUUUGAUCUCUGCGUCAACUGUUAUAUGCGGCGGAAUUAUAAUCAUCCGCAUCGUGUCUUCCUGGAUAGUUUUGUUUUAUUACGAUCUAAGCGUAGCCACCCUCCUAUGGAGCCGCCUGGCGACCAAAACAUGCCCGAACAACAUCCUGGGAUGGUAAGCUUUUUUUACACACAAUUACACAAUAUUUGUUUCUCUAUGUAACGGCAGGUAUUCCGUUUCUUAUUGUCGCUUUCCAAGUACUUUAUUCGUAGUGGAAAGGUAUCCAUUUUGAUUUUAUAUUUUUAAUAAAUAAAGGGAGUUACAGAAAAUAAUAUGUAUAUUUAAAACUGAUUUGGUAACUUAUUAUUAACUAAUAAAUAUUACUAAGGAAGACAUAAAAUGAUCAUUUUGUUUUGAUUUAUUGAUUAUAAUAACAUAUGUUGAAUAUACCCAAUUAAAUCCAACUGAAAUCAUUAUUUGAUAAUUUCUUUUAAUGUUUAUACUAGUUAGUGUAUUGUUGAUAUAUAUAUAUUGAUAGAUUCAUUGCUUUCUAACAAAGUCCGGACUAUCUAUUUUGGUUCGUUACACCGAAGUAGAAUUUUGUGUUUUUCAUUCAAUUUAAUUUUUAAUAUCGAAAAGCUAUUUUAUUACUCAAACAACAUGUAAUUUGAGAAGUUAUAUCAGAAUAGAAAAAUAAAACAAAAAAAGAUUUUCAUAAAAACUUUUGAUUUUUUAGCUAAUGAAUUUGUAGUCGUGUUUUGUGUUUAAGGCUGGUAAACUAUUUUGAAAUUUUGAAAUCUCAUAAGUCGGAAAAUGCAAUAGACUUUAUCAUAAUUUUAUUUAUUCCUUUUGAUAACCAUCGUGCCAACUACCCUAUAACUCUAUGUUUUAAUCUCUCCUUUCUGAAUUUAAAAUCAAAUCUAAACACUAAAUUUAGAUUAGUUAACCCUAGGAAUAUAAGUGUAUAUUUACCUCUUCAAUGAAAUAUUUUGCUCAUUUUUACUUUUAAAAACUAUAUUUGUGAUUAAAAAAACUUUUUAGUGUUAUCCUAGUGAAUUUCUCUAUUUUUAAAAACCAUCUAACAUUUCUUUUGAGAUUGAAACUAGACUUCAGUUUCCUCGAGCUGUAAGUACCCUUUCCAUAUUGCUUACUAUUAGUAUAAUCCCCACCAACUGAUGAUGAGUAAUUCACAUGAGUCCUUGGAGAGCCUCAACAAAGGUUCUCUGUUCUUUGAUUUCCUGCUGGUGUCCGAGCCAUUGACACACUCUUAGUUAGUUUCAUGGGCCUACUAUCAAACACUACUAGAAAAGACCAGAGAUUCAUGGGGAGUGAUCAGAGAUGCAUCGACUAAGCUUGGCGCCAAUACAUCAACAUGCUUUCAUCACUAAUUGAUCUCUGGUGGAAUGUGAUAUUAAAAUUCUUCCAAAUCAUCACCUAACAGAUUGUCUUCCUCCAUCAUCAACAUAUCCUCAUCACUAAGUAAAACUUCCUCCAUAUGUUCAUCAUCUUCUCCCAAACCUACUUGACCCUAAACUGGAGAGCACCAUUAACCAGAGCAUCCAAAGGCUGAGUACACAUCUUUUCGUCUUCCUUAAGAUAAGAUGAUCUGGUCACUUCAUUUUGUGCUAAAGCAGUGGAUGCAUAUCGAAAGAUAAUGUUUUCAGCAUUGACUUGCAGAGGUUGAAAAAACUCUACAAUAGCACUAGUGAUCUUCUUUUCAAAGCUGGAGACGAAGAAAGCGCAUUUUGUGUCUCAGCCGCCAGUAGAACUGCAUAGUUUAUCUUUUAAUUCUAGUACUGACUGCCACUCCUAGACUCAUAUUGUGUUCUCCAAAACAACCUACGAUCUUCCUUGAGGCCAUUAGAGUAUGGUUUGUAGGAACCGUUGUCUCGUACUUGUGAGAUAACUGUAGAACGACGAUUCUCAUGUGAUGAGCAAAAACUCCUAUGAAGCCGAGAGUGAUGGUCAGACCGGGCAUAAAGAUAGCCUCCAUCGUCCACCUUUUUGUCCAACAGCCGGGUCCUUCAACUGUUUGCGAAAUCAUGGUCGUUCUUUGUAUCAUCUCUGAGUAAUGACUCAUUCUUUUGAGCUGGCUUAGGACUAAUAUCUACUCUGGAAAACACGUUCAUUUUCUGACUCUCAACAUAAAGAUCAGCUACCUUUUUCUCGCAGGAUGACACCUCAUGUGAGAUGAUUCCACAAUAGGAGCAAUAUUUGAAGAGUCGAUCAUCCUUAAUUUGGAUAGUAAUCUCAUUCCCUUCCAUAGAGCUGAUCUUUCUUGAAAUUUUAAGGGUUUGCGGCUAUCCAUAUCGAUCUGAAUUCUCUCCUCAGUAACAUCGACCACAUGAACCAAUCUAAGUUCAAUGCUGUGUAGAUUGAGCUCAGUCCACAGAUGUAGUAGGAUUCCCGUUAACUGAAUCCAAAAAGGAAUAGCCCAAGGAUAGUAUUCAUCGACAAUCGACUCUCAGCGGACAAGAACAAACAUACAAAAGUUGUAAUGAAAAGGUCAAAGCGCAAGUACAAAUUGUAAGUUGAUAUAGGAAAUGAGGGAUACACGUGUAAGUUAAUAAAAGAAGUACGAAGAGGGACACGUGUCGAUUGAGAGUGAAGUUGUUGAAGAAUUCGUUAGAGUUUGUUACGAUGAGGAACGGUGGGAGAAUAAACGAGAGAAGGAGAAAUCAUUUGUGGAUUAUCCAGAUAUUAAGUGAACUUUUCUCAAUUUUUCUGUGAGUGAGAGUGAUCAUCGUAUCAUCGUUUUUGAGCUGUUUCUACUUAGAAGCUCUUGGCGUGGUAUGAUCGAUUCUUUGUUGUAACAGACCUUGAAUCGAGUUAUUGGAUUUUUAUAUUGAACCUUGAUUUCACUGUAUCACAAGUCAUUGUCAUUGUCGAAAUAAAAUAAAAACCUACUGUUUCUCAGAUCA